rnacentral:rRNA from 1 species
GACGAACGCUGGCGGCGUGCUUAACACAUGCAAGUCGAACGGAAAGGCCCUGCUUUUGUGGGGUGCUCGAGUGGCGAACGGGUGAGUAACACGUGAGUAACCUGCCCUUGACUUUGGGAUAACUUCAGGAAACUGGGGCUAAUACCGGAUAGGAGCUCCUGCUGCAUGGUGGGGGUUGGAAAGUUUCGGCGGUUGGGGAUGGACUCGCGGCUUAUCAGCUUGUUGGUGGGGUAGUGGCUUACCAAGGCUUUGACGGGUAGCCGGCCUGAGAGGGUGACCGGCCACAUUGGGACUGAGAUACGGCCCAGACUCCUACGGGAGGCAGCAGUGGGGAAUAUUGCACAAUGGGCGGAAGCCUGAUGCAGCAACGCCGCGUGCGGGAUGACGGCCUUCGGGUUGUAAACCGCUUUCGCCUGUGACGCAGCGUGAGUGACGGUAAUGGGUAAAGAAGCACCGGCUAACCACGUG